rnacentral:miRNA from 2 species
AGCUUUGCGGGGUGGGCAGUCAGC